AUGUUGGCAUGCCAAGAAUCUAUUCCUUCUGAACCUUUUGCAGCACUACCUGUAAAUCCUGCUGGAGUUCUUCUCUGCACUGAUUGGAGCUUCCAAAUUGGUAAAAGCAACGGAGCCUAUCUGGCGACUGAACCUGUCAGCUAUCCUGGCCUGCUUUGCAUCUUUAAUGUCCACAUAAAAGAUCUCAUUUUCUUAAAAAGUUCACCUUCAUUGCCGACAUGUUUGCAUUAUGCUGUUACAAGAAUGCAUUUGUCACUUUCUAAGAUUGGUACCUGUCCUAAGACCUAUAAACAUGAUAAGGUUGGGGUUACUGCUCCGAGUGACGGUUACCAGCCUUGGUACUGGGUAUGGGAGGGGAAAAGGGCUGGUGGUGGGGAUUAG
rnacentral:rRNA from 1 species